rnacentral:lncRNA from 1 species
UUUGCCUCCGAAAACAGCAGAGCCGUGGGGCCUCCCCCGCGCCGGCCCUGCCUCCAACCAGCCGCCCAAUCCCGGCUCCNNNNNNNNNNNNNNNNNNNNNNAUAAAACAAAGCGCGGCCGCCGGGCUCCGAGCGCGGCCCCUGGGUUCGAACACGGUACCCGCACUGCGCGUCAUGGUGCAGGCCUGGUAUAUGGACGACGCCCCGGGCGACCCGCGGCAACCCCACCGCCCCGACCCCGGCCGCCCAGUGGGCCUGGAGCAGCUGCGGCGGCUCGGGGUGCUCUACUGGAAGGUACGCGGGCCCAAGGCUUGCAGAGCGUGCGGGCGACGCCGACCCCCAAACGCCGCGCACAGCCCAGCCUCCUCCGGGUGCCGGCCAGCGGCCUGGGAGCCGCAGCAUGCUGCGCAUGCUCAGCAGCGGGAUUGGGGGUUCGUGGCCGCUCCCGGUGCCUGGGGUGGGCUGCGCAUGCUCAGCAGUGGGGCUGGGUGGUCAGGGCCUCCUGCGCGGCGCCGGGGUGUGCUGCGCAUGCUCAGCAGCGGCGUUGAGGGGUCGGCGGUCAGCUCCCAGCGCCUGUGGUGUACUGCGCAUGCUCAGCAGCGAAGUUUACGGGGUCGGUGGUCGGCUUGUCCCGGCUGGGCCCGGUGUCAGCCCUGCCUCUGUAACGCUAGCUUUGCAAGGCGGGGCUAGGCUUUGCACCGGUGUCCCGUUGCUUGCACAGCACCAGUCCAGAUCCGCUCACCUGGGGAUGUGAAAUAUCAAAUAUUUUUAAGAUAGCCAAUUAUCCUAUUUGGUUUAGAAUGUAGAAUUCUUUAAAAAGUAGGAGACGGGAACAGAUAGAAGUAGAAAAGUCAGCUGGGGCCAGAUGAUAGAAGGUUUCUCAUUCCAGUUUAAUUAACUUGAGUUUUAUUUGCAAGCUGUGAGAGCAUACAAUGUUUUGGCUCAUGGAAACAAACUGACCAAAGAGAUGGCAUUGAGGAUCAAUGAGACUCAUGAGUGGGAUGGUGGCGGAGAAACAGGGCACAGUGAGGGACCUGUGGAGAGGUCAGACAGGCUUGAGGUGGUGAGACUAUCAUCUCAAAAUGGGAAAAAGAAUCCCCUGGGAUGGA